UUCGCUGCAGAUUAUGAAGAGGAACGGUGAGAGAGGAUCCCCUUGUCUCAAUCCUCUCUCUGGAGUAACUGCACCUUGAGCAGAGCCAUUGAGGAGGAAGGAGUAUGAAACUGUGGUGAUACAUUGUAAAAUCCAGCUUAUCCAAGUUUGGUGAAACCCCAUCUCUUGCAUAACCAGUUUGAUAAAGUCCCACUCAAUUCUGUCAUAGGCUUUACUCAUGUUAGUUUUGACAGCCAUAAAGCAUCGUUUCUCUGCUCCUAAGGAUUUGAGGUAAUGAAGAGCUUCAUGUGUGAUUAGUACAUUGUCAUUACUCGCUCUUUUUGGAACAAAAGCUGACUGAUUUUCAGAAAUUAUCUCUUGCAGGAUUGGUUGCAGACGCCUAGACAGCAGCUUUGAAAUGAUUUUAUAGAAAACUGUGCAUAAAGCUAUAGGUCUGUAGUCUACCAUCCUUUUCAGGCUUUGGAUUUUAGGAAUCAGUGUGAUAUGUGUUUUGUUGAUUGUUGGCUGAAGGGUAGAUGAAGAAAAGAAGGAUUGGAUCUCCAAAACAAUGUUAGGACCCACAGUCAUCCAAUUUGAUUGGAAAAAACUCGCCGAAAACCCAUCCGGACCGGGUGCUUUGUCAGCAUGGAUAGAAAAACAAGCAGAUUUUAUUUCCUCUGCUGAAGGCAAUUAAAUCAGAGAACGAUUCUGUUCAGGAGAGAUGAAUGGUUUAAUGGCCUCUUUAAUGGUUGCAGCUCGAGCUCCUUCAUUUGCAGAGAAUAGCUUCUGAAAAUACUCGGAGAUAACAUUGAGGAUCCCUGCCUCUUCAUACUCAGGUACUCCAUCCUCCUUUUCUAUCACUGAGAACUUAUUUAUCACCGUUCUACCUCUAGUGAUGGCAUGGAAGUAACCCGAAUUUUUAUCUCCUAAGGCAAGCCAUAACUGUCUGCUUCUCUGCUUCCAAUACUCUUCCUCUGCCUUGUAUGCUAAGAGCAAAUUAGUAUUGAUAGUCGAUAACAGCUCUUGAUUGUGAUCUUGACUAGACAUUGCCUCUUCAAGUUUUUGACGAUUUUCCUCAAUAAGUUUUUGACUACUUUGCUGCUUAGCCCUAGACCACUUAACAAUUUCCAAACGACAUCUGCUAAUUUUUUCCUCCACAAUGUCUGUAUCAUAAAGAUUCCAGGCCUCUUGAACAAGGGCUGUGACUUCAUCGUUGUUUUUUAGACGCCUAUCGUAACGAAACACUCCUUUUUUCUUUUUCUUUGACAGGUCAAAGUGGGUAAGAAGUGGUCUGUGGUCUGACCCUUCAAAGCAAAGGUAAAUGCAUCUACUAGCAGGAUAAUCUUCAGCCCACGCUCCAUUGGACAAUGCACGAUCAAGCCUGCAAUGCACAACAUGAUCAUGUCUCUUUCCACGCCAAGAUAAGAAAUUCCCUGAAUGUCUUAAAUCAUACAAAUCACAUUCCGCCAUAAAUGAUCUAAUGUCCACAAAAGUUCCUUCAUAUCUUGCAGGUCCUCCUUGUUUUUCAGAAGAAUCUAUGAUAUAAUUGAAUUCUCAGUAAGAUACCAGGGUUCACUUCUAUCUUUCCCUAAACUGGUAAGCUGAUCCCAUAUAGCUUUCCGCUUUGAUCUGUCUGGUUCCCCAUAGAUGAAAGUAGCAAAGAAGUGUUUACCCGCCGCCUUAAUCUUUGUGUCAAUAAAGUUGUUGCAGGAAUAAAGGAUUGUCACUUCUACUUCAUGUUUCCAGAGAAGGGCCAGACCACCACCUCCUGGGCUAUGCGGGGGAACAAGGUGAUGUGCAGAAAAAUUCAUCCAGUUUAAAGAGGUGAGGGUUGUCUCAUUGGGGUUCUUGGUUUCCAUAAGGAACAGAAUUUCUGGUGAGAUUGAAGAAUGCAUCUCACGCAGCCGUUGUACUGUUGUGGGGCUCCCCAAUCCACAACAGUUCCAGCUCAGAACUUUUAAGGAAUCUGAUUUGGUAGAUGGUGAAAAUCCACCUUAUCUUUCACUCUUGCAGGUAUAAUAGUUACUCGUGGAGUAGGUUGACUUGAGGAAGGGUUGGAGGCUCCAGGUUGGAGGAGAAGCUUUUGCUUUGUUUUCGUGGUUCUGCUAGGGCCAGCAGAUUCUUGUAUGUGAGCUUCAUUCUUCUCAGGUGUGGAUUUCCUUUUAGGGGAGUUCUGGAUAAGUCCCUUUCUUUUGCUUGAUUUUGCUCCCAGCAAUGGUAAAGCAGCUUUGUUUUGGGGUUUAGCUAAAGGUGGACGUCCUCUUUUCUUUUUUGCAGGAGCAACACAGCUUGUAGUCUGAUCAGCCGGAUGACUUUGUAGGUCUUGGUACUGAGAGAGAUUAUCUUGUGUUGGAAGAUCUUCAGAGGCAAGGUAAUUUUGGUUUGAGAUGAGUGCAGCUUCCAGCAUUAUAGAAGCUGUUUCUGCCAUGAGUCCUUUUUCUUCUCCUUGAAAAACUCUUCGUUUUCUUGCAGCGCUUUCAGUUGGGUGUGCACAACUAACAUAUUGCAGAGUGACGUCUCUAAGCUCUCCCAUGAUUUGGUCAUUAGUAGGGAUGGGAGGAGGAGGUGGUGGAGUAACCUCAUAAGAAUCCAGGUUUCUCUCCAACGGGGGACGUCUUGUUCUCGAAGUUUCAGAGCUAUCAUUUCUAGGACUGAGUCUAUGUGUGGCUCUAACCCUCCAUUGAGGAGUCUGAGAAGAAUCUCUUCUUGGCCCCUCUCUAAUAGGAUCCUGAUAUCUUGAGGUACCCCUUUUGUCUCCUGUCUCAUGGCGACCUAAAUUCCUUCUGUUAGGGUUAAAAGGAUUUCUGUGUCUUCUCUCCUCAUAGGGUCCAGCUCGGCGAGAUAGAUGUUCUCUAGAAGUUGAGGUCUACUCCUCUUACUUUUCCAAGAUCUUGAGAACGACUUUGAUUAAUAGAAGGGUUUCUUGAAGGCGCUCUUGAGGGAGAUGAUUCUCUUAGAGAUCUAGGGGCUAUGAAAUUGUCUCUAGGAGUGUAAUAAUUUCUAGCCAGAUCCUUGGAUGCCUCUUCACUUCUGGAAGAUCUGAACUUUGUAGUGUCCUCAUUUUCUGAAACCAGAUCUGGACAGAAUUUCUUUUCAUGAGUAAGUCUUAGGCAAUGUGAGCAGUAAUUUUUGAGAUUCUUGUAGACUAACGAGAUCAGAGCUUCGCUGCCAUCAGGAAAGUCUACCAUGGUGUCAAGGACUAGCGAUUUCAGGCCAUCAACAAAGACCUUUAGCUUUGCUGAAGAAUUGGUUAUUUCAAAAUCCAGAAUUUCUCCCAA
rnacentral:lncRNA from 1 species